UACAGAGGUCUCGAGCGUUGUUCGGAUUCAUUGGGCGUAAAGGGCGCGUAGGCGGCGGGGUAAGUCUGGUGUGAAAUCGUCGGAGCUCAACUCCGAAAUUGCACUGGAUACUGCUCUGCUAGAGGGCUGGAGAGGAGAUCGGAAUUCACGGUGUAGCAGUGAAAUGCGUAGAUAUCGUGAGGAAGACCAGUGGCGAAGGCGGGAUCUCUGGACAGCUCCUGACGCUGAGGCGCGAAGGCUAGGGGAGCAAACGGG
rnacentral:rRNA from 1 species